rnacentral:lncRNA from 1 species
UUAUAUUUGGUCGCAACACCACUUGAAUUAAAAUCAUCAUUCUUAACUUCAUGUCAAGUAGCUUGAUCAAUUGAUUGGAUUGACCAUUCAGCGUCAGUUGAUUUGUGUUUUCCAAAUAUUUGGAGAAAACGUUGACUUUAAAAAUAUUAAAUGAAGUAUCACGUCUAUACGAACUCUUUCGAGAAUGGCAGAAUUGCUCAUUGCUGGUUAAUGACAGGGCUACUUACUACAGAUAAUGGUAUAACUACUUGCUGCUAGAUAACGUUAGAAUGGCUAGCCACAGGUUCACCAGACAGGAUUAAGU